rnacentral:rRNA from 1 species
GGACGAACGCUGGCGGCGCGCCUAACACAUGCAAGUCGAACGGAGAUUACAGGCGGAAGUUUUCGGAUGGAAGCUUGUAAACUUAGUGGCGGACGGGUGAGUAACACGUGAGCAACCUGCCUAUCAGAGGGGGAUAACGAUUGGAAACGAUCGCUAAUACCGCAUGACAUAGCGGAAUCGCAUGGUUCUGUUAUCAAAGAUUUUAUCGCUGAUAGAUGGGCUCGCGUCCGAUUAGAUAGUUGGUGGGGUAACGGCCUACCAAGUCGACGAUCGGUAGCCGGACUGAGAGGUCGAACGGCCACAUUGGGACUGAGACACGGCCCAGACUCCUACGGGAGGCAGCAGUGGGGAAUAUUGCACAAUGGGGGAAACCCUGAUGCAGCGACGCCGCGUGGAGGAAGAAGGUCUUCGGAUUGUAAACCCCUGUUGUUGAGGAAGAUAAUGACGGUACUCAACAAGGAAGUGACGGCUAACUACGUG